AUUAAACCUAGCAAGUAACUUUUAAAAUUAGACAAAUAGUACAGACAAUACAAUAUAAAAACGGGCUGGAGAUCAUCAGCAACUGAUGUGAAUAUUCAAAAU